rnacentral:rRNA from 1 species
CGAACGGGUGAGUAAUGCGUGACCAACCUGCCCCAUGCUCCAGAAUAGCUCUUGGAAACGGGUGGUAAUGCUGGAUGCUCCAACUUGACGCAUGUCUUGUUGGGAAAGUGUUUAGUGGCAUGGGAUGGGGUCGCGUCCUAUCAGCUUGUAGGCGGGGUAAUGGCCCACCUAGGCUUCGACGGGUAGCCGGCCUGAGAGGGCGGACGGCCACAUUGGGACUGAGAUACGGCCCAGACUCCACGGGAGGCAGCAGAG